AAGUCGUAACAAGGUUUCCGUAGGUGAACCUGCGGAAGGAUCAUUAUUGAAUAUUCUUGAUGGGUUGUAGCUGGCUCUUCGGGGCAUGUGCACGCUUGUCUUGACUCUAUUCAUCCACCUGUGCACCUUUUGUAGUCUUGGGGGUUGAGAUCAGUCAACUAUCGGAUAGCUAUAUAGCUUUUCCGGAUGUGAGGAAUGCUGAGUGCGAAAGCAUACAGCUCUUCUCAAAUGACUUGUAAACCUCUCCUUCAAGUACUAUGUAUUCAUAUACCACAUAGUAUGUUGUAGAAUGUGAUCAAUGGGCCUAUGUGCCUAUAAUAAUCAUAUACAACUUUCAGCAACGGAUCUCUUGGCUCUC
rnacentral:misc_RNA from 1 species